GUAUGGGGAUUCUUUCAAACUUUUAUGGGCAACCUAACCUAUUAACGUAACUUUUCUGAUAAUCGGUCAGAUGUGAGAGAAGGGAGAAAUGAGAAAUUGACUUUAAAAAGAGGGUAAUACUUGAAACGGUACAUGGUAAGAUACGCAACUCAGGAUGAUUAACGCACGGUUCAUUAACGAGUGUUGCAACCUCUCUUCGCUUGCUUGCAUAAAUUCUAAUCUGUAGUUUGGUAAGGUUUUCGCUUGCGUAAAAGAGUGAUAACCGAAAGGGGCACAUAAUUUGUCGACGAUUCUUCCAGGUGCAUUGUGCUUUCCUCCCAGAGCGAGAAGAACAAUGAGCUCCUCGAGGUGCUCCUUAGCGACACGAAUGGUGCCCCCCCCCCCGUUGACGUCAUCGACGUAAACAGACUCCAGGAGAAUUCUGGCUGCGUUGGGAUAUUCAUGUCCGUGAUCCCUGGUCGAUAUCAAAAAAGUAAAAAAAUUAAAAACUCGAUCAUUCUGCCGGAAGUUGCGGAAAAUGCAGAUAAAGACGAAAAUGAUCCUGAACCAAAACCUAGAAAAGUCGCCUCCACCCAGCAGAUCAGUCAAAAGAUGCGCCCAGCGAAUCGAAUCUUCAUCUUCUGCAGGGUAAGAUGAUAAUCAAAAAGAUACACAGACGGAGAGCCAAAUAAACAAGAAUGAACGAGCAACAUCAACACCACGCUCAAAAAGCAACACAAAAAAACCUACGCGGAUCAAAUUAUCCACCUCCUCUUCGGACGAAAACCAUCAUGAAAAAGGGUCGGAGCCGCUCCUCGCACAGCAUGCUGGAGGAAUCGGAUAGAUAAAUCAGGAGUCGUUCAAACUAGAGUACCUUUAUAGUUCAAACUGUUACCCCUCCAUAGCAGACUUGGACUUCUUUAUCAACCGUAGAUGAUGGCAUACGUAUUGUGAUGUUCACGAUCCCUGUUUUGUUUUUCUUCUUCGUAAUUUUCUUAAGUACCUAUAAUCUACCUUUUUAUCCUGUAAUGUUCUUACUUUAACAUUAUACCUAAUUCUGUUUACCUUUUUCACACCACCUGUCAUGGCUAAGCUUACCCAGCUGUGGUCCCUAAUCUUAGGCGUAUGCUCCACCCAGCAUCUUUCUACUAAUUUUUCAUUACCCCAUACGAACCCCAUACUUCUCUCAGAACUUUGUGUGGCCUAAAAACAUGUAUUACAAGAAAAGUAUAGUACUUCUUGUUUUUAUUAAUCGCCUACUUUUUUCUCAGUUUAGUUCAUCAUUUCCUGAAUAAAAAAAUUUGUUACGUACAUCUUAUCUGUGGCAGAAAUUACUGCCGAUAGGCGGGGAGGGGGUAUCUUGCUCAUAGAAAAAGAACAACAAAAAAUAAAAAUCAACGGUUAACUUGCUCACAUGCGGAUCUCGUUUGCAGUACCUAAGUUAAAAUCUCUGCUCAAAUACUAUUUUUUUAAAAGGGAGUGGACGAACAUUGCUUGAAAUUUUCACAGAAUAUUCUUUACUCUCACAAGAAGAAUCAGGGCACUUAUCAUCGCUUGAGAUUGAGAAUCCUACCAUUUAGGACAUACAUAACUAGGGGGCUA